AUUGAACGCUGGCGGCAGGCUUAACACAUGCAAGUCGAGCGGAGAGAGGUAGCUUGCUACUGAUCUUAGCGGCGGACGGGUGAGUAAUGCUUAGGAAUCUGCCUAUUAGUGGGGGACAACAUUUCGAAAGGAAUGCUAAUACCGCAUACGUCCUACGGGAGAAAGCAGGGGAUCUUCGGACCUUGCGCUAAUAGAUGAGCCUAAGUCGGAUUAGCUAGUUGGUGGGGUAAAGGCCUACCAAGGCGACGACCUGUAGCGGGUCUGAGAGGAUGAUCCGCCACACUGGGACUGAGACACGGCCCAGACUCCUACGGGAGGCAGCAGUGGGGAAUAUUGGACAAUGGGCGCAAGCCUGAUCCAGCCAUGCCGCGUGUGUGAAGAAGGCCUUAUGGUUGUAAAGCACUUUAAGCGAGGAGGAGGCUACUUUAGAUAAUACCUAGAGAUAGUGGACGUUACUCGCAGAAUAAGCACCGGCUAACUCUGUGCCAGCAGCCGCAGUAAUAC
rnacentral:rRNA from 1 species